UACGUAGGGGGCAAGCGUUGUCCGGAUUUAUUGGGCGUAAAGAGCGUGUAGGCGGCCUGACAGGUCUGCUGUGAAAACUCGAGGCUCAACCUCGAGAUGUCGGCGGAAACCGUCUGGCUAGAGUCCGGAAGAGGAGAGUGGAAUUCCUGGUGUAGCGGUGAAAUGCGCAGAUAUCAGGAAGAACACCUAUGGCGAAGGCAGCUCUCUGGGACGGUACUGACGCUGAGGUGCGAAAGCUAGGGUAGCAAACGGG
rnacentral:rRNA from 1 species